GAGACGAUGAGGGGCUCUUAGAGCCCAGGUACCUGACGCCGUGGCCCAUUAUUGUCCGAGGGCUCCCGGCCUGGUUCUGCUGAGAGCGCCGUGCACGUUUGUGGGUGUCGCCAGUGGAAGCGUUAGAUCUGCUGAGUGUUGGGAUGUUUUCUGAUAGCGGUGCCGAUGUGAUACCUGAGUUACACCUGAGUCUGAGGCAGAUGUUUCUCCCCUGGUUUUAAAUUUUUAUUCCAAACCUCGUAAAGCUUCAGCCAGCGGAGAUCAAGCAAUAGCAGACAGUUUAUGAUGCUCGAUAUGGACAUUUUGUGAUGCUGCUUAAAAAGUAAUGAUGCGGAGAGCGCGUCCAGCACCUGCCACGGCUGAUGGAAUCACUCACCUCUGCCUUCACUUCAGCACCGGCUCUGGAGCUGCGUCUGGUUUCUGAUCCGCUGGAUGCAUGGGAGCAUCUUAUAGUUCCUGUCACAUCCAUCCAUCCUGAGCUAAGCAGUGUGUCUUUGCAGAGAUCUGGGAGGGACUGAGAGACUGAUGUCUCAGCUCCUGCAGGAUCCCACCAGGAACGGCGUUGACAGUUGCAGGAGCAGCAGGAUACGGCGCAAAGAUGUUGCUGUAAUUGCACCUGGUUGCGUCAUGAAAAAGUAAUAAUUUGCUGUCAAGGACGUCAAGGUGUCAGCGUUCGGCAGGAGUUGAUAAGGUAUUGACUGCCUCCAGAGUGCUCACUCACUCACUCACUCACUCACUCACUCACUCAUACUCCUUUAUAAAGUUGAGUCCCAGAGAAAGAGGGAGACGGGGGAGAGAAGGGGGGGGGUGAAACGGGGGAGGGAGGGAAACGAGCCGAGGAAUGAGGCUAAAGAGGCGCCGCCUUAAUUGCACCUUAUUCACCGUCUUCAUUUAUAAUAGAUGCACAGGUUGCCCUAAAUUAUACAUCAGCGAUCAACAGGCUGAGGCCGCGCGGCACGAAGCGUCCAUGAGCUGAAGAAUACACAAUCACCACCUUAAGAACCGAGGCCGCGGCCGGACCUCCGCGGAACACUGGGCCUCAGGGGAGGCGCCGCCCGACCCGACCCGGCCCGACCCGGCCCGACCCGUGGAUCACACACGCGUCACUCAGGCAUGCGUUUCUGAGGCCCUGAAAUCAAAGCGAGGUGAGAAGCGUCACACACCUUUAAUGAAAUGAGCACAGCUGAGGUCUGAGGAGUUCAGAGCACAGGAAACGCACAGGAAACGCACAAGAACGCACAGGAAACGCACAGGAAA
rnacentral:lncRNA from 1 species